UACGUAGGGUGCAAGCGUUGUCCGGAAUUAUUGGGCGUAAAGAGCGUGUAGGCGGCCCGAUUAGUCCGCUGUGAAAAGUCCGGGGCUCAACCCUGGAAUGCCGGUGGAUACUGUCGGGCUAGAGUCCGGAAGGGGCGAGUGGAAUUCCUGGUGUAGCGGUGAAAUGCGCAGAUAUCAGGAGGAACACCAAUGGCGAAGGCAGCUCGCUGGGACGUGACUGACGCUGAGACGCGAAAGCGUGGGGAGCAAACAGG
rnacentral:rRNA from 1 species